GAUGAACGCUAGCGGCAGGCUUAACACAUGCAAGUCGAGGGGUAUAGGUUUUCGGACCUAGAGACCGGCGCACGGGUGCGUAACGCGUAUGCAAUCUACCUUUUACAGAGGGAUAGCCCAGAGAAAUUUGGAUUAAUACCUCAUAGUAUGAUGAUCCGGCAUCGGAUUAUUAUUAAAGUUCCAACGGUAAAAGAUGAGCAUGCGUCCCAUUAGCUAGAUGGUAAGGUAACGGCUUACCAUGGCAACGAUGGGUAGGGGUCCUGAGAGGGAGACUCCCCCACACUGGUACUGAGACACGGACCAGACUCCUACGGGAGCUG
rnacentral:rRNA from 1 species